rnacentral:pre_miRNA from 1 species
UUAUGUGAAUAAAUCAAAAAAGUGACUCCUUGAGAUAGAAUCUACUCCUGGUGAAGAUGCUGUCAA